GUGAUGGCGCCACUGUCCAGUCAAAAUCUCGUCCCACACACUUUUCUAUAUAUUUUUUUCCAUUUUUAUUCGUAAAAAAUAGCAACUGCCGCGCCCGGUCUCGCAUUCUUUCUCCUCACUCUGAAGUAUUACAGAAUAAUAUUCAGGGGAAAGAGAAUCUUUCAGGAGUAGACAAGAAAAGAGAGGGGUUUGAGGAAGAGGGAUGUAAUUGUUUCUCGAGCCCUAGGUAAUAAGGUCUUUAAAUUCAGUGUUGAGCAGGACAAUAUUUUAUAAAUACCGAGUAUUGAAAUACUCUUCGACUUUUCCACAUCCUAAAGAUGAAUUAUCUGAAUAUAUUGCAUUUAUUAUAUAUCAACAACGAUGCCCAAUAUUUUGUUAUUUAAUAGUUGAUACAAGUCUAAAUAUCAGGUAAAGAAUAUUUAUUACUUCAUAGAGAAGUCAAUACCAAAUAUUUUAAUAUUUAGUACUUAGUUGUGCACUAAAUCCUGAAUUUUCUCCUUAAUUUUUGUUAAAUCAACAUCUCCAUAGGUUUUUAAGUAAAAAUUGUCUGGGGUAGAAGCUACAUCAUUGAAUACAGCCAAGAAAAAUUCAAUCGAUUGACCGUUUGGUCUUCGAGCAAUAAUUAGAGAAAGUUCAUAAUUUUACUUAAUUAAAACCAGUUAAUAAGUUAAUCGAGUGAGACAAAUUACAGAUGUGCGAUAUUGGGCCCAGCAAUCUCCGGAAACUGAUGCAUCUUCUGUCGGCGAACCCGGUGAGCCGACGAUGUGAGUAAGGCCGUUGUCUCACAGCGGAUGGGUUCCAGGUUCGAUUCCUGGUCGAGUAGAAUGGUGAGGUCUAACCAUUAAAACACCUGAUCAAUUCCCAGAUAGUUAUCAUAAACUAAUGUAAAAUAGUUAUCGCAAACUAAUGUAAAAUAAGUUUUAAAAAAUCUCGGCUUGCUCGGUAUCUCCAAUCACGGGUCACAUCCAUCGUCAUAGCGAGGCAUUGAAAGUGUCCCAUUGUCAUCUGUGAUGCCCUUAUGGAAUGGACGGGUCACCAAUGCUGCGUUACGUCCUGGGAGUCAGUCGUCGUGAACGAGAGGUGUAAAAUUUAAUGAAAUUUCUCAGCUGUGACAAUCGGGCUCUUCGCUACAAUGAACCCUGUUAUCGUCUUCUUCGAUUUAAAUAAAAAGAUGAUCUACGAGAUUGAGUUGUCGGAUUCAGUCGAGGGUAAUAUAUUCAUGAAGAAGAGGAGAAGCGGCUUAAAUACCCACAUCUUUUGUUUGAGUUACGUCAGCUGAACUGUGAGCUCUUGGUCAAGCUAGUUAUCCUGAUCAGCGGUGCUUUCGGUGGCAUGAGAGGAUCCCGUUGAGGCCCUACAUCACCGGUGGAUAAUUUUGGUAAAAUCAGGAGAGAGAGGCAUGACAUUAUGACCCACUACCGCUUGAUUAACUAUAUAAUUCGACUCGUCAUCAACAAUUGACAAAGUUCGGCUGAAAAUUUGUGAUGCAUCCACUCUCUUAGACCAUAAAAAUUCCAGUUCUUUGGGAGUCUGUCGACAAUCGUUUCAACUUUUCAUUGUAUACUGACUCCCUCCCGAGAAAAAUUCAACAACCCCAAAAUCCAUCGAUUGCACCCCUUUCAUCCAGAAGAAAAACAACUGACUGACUCCCCGACAAAAUAUGCAUUUAUUUAUUGUCAGAAUCUAUCGAUGAUUUUACAGAAAUACUUUCCCUUUUAAAAUUCCAUUCCAGGGAUUUUUCAGAAUUGCGUAACUGAACUACAAAGAAGCCUGAUGAGUAAUAUAAUACAUGUAACAAUGACAAUCAAUAACUCUUUAACAUAAUUAACGUCUCCAACUUAUUUAUUUACGAAGACUAUUGACUGUUUUCAUUCUCAAGUACUUCUCGACUUAUGUCCUCUGCUGCAUGCGUUGUCACGUGGAGAACGUAUUAGUCCAAUUAACUAAACCGGAGACACAGGGGCCUAUUGAUUUUACCUCCUUCGUGUAAGAGUUCAAAGUAGACAUUUAUGCUCCAUCAAGUCGGGUUACCCUUCAAUUUCAGGUGGUACUAUAGCGAAAAUUAAUUAUUAAUUAGGUUGAGAAAAAAUACAGAUCUUGUUAUUUAAUUACUUGAAUGACAAUUGCUUUCUUAUUUGCUAAUUUAAUACUUAAAUCAUAGGAACGUUUUGAAAGAUUGAAUGUUUAAAGGAGUAAAUAACAAACUUUGUUUGCGGAUCAGACGAAGACCCUGGGAAUUAUGGAAUUAUAUAAUUACGUUCUGUGGAGGGCGUCUUUGAGCUCGUCGUCAUAGCGGGUUGACCUGACCUUAUGAGCAAAGCGUCCCAGGAACCCAGGAACGAGUUCCAGUGAUCAAGGAUUUUUUUCAUUGGAGGAAGACAAACCCAGUGCAUGUCGAAAAGAAGGUUUUCAUCGCAUACGGAUUGAAUAAUUUUUAUAAGAGGAUUGACUGUCUCUGUACAGUAUGGAGAACAAAUUAGCUAAUUCUUCAACUUAUUAUCAAAUAUUGGAUUACAAGAUUAUAAACAUGUCUGAUAUACUCUAUUGUAUUAAAUGCCAAAAAAGUAAUUUUUUGAUAAUUAUAUCGGCCUACACAUCCCCCAUUGUCAUCGUGAGAUAAAACCAGAGUUGAAGGGAGUUUUCACACUUUUAAGAGAACCCCAAUGACUUAAAAUCCCAAUUAAUAACUCAAUCUCUCUUUUGUUAAAAUUAAUACAUUUAAAAGUACUUAGAAUCGUACACAAAUUCAUUGUAAAUACAGAACAAAAUAUAUUGUAUUUCAACAACCCUUGAACCCUUGCCCUUGAAGUAAAGUAAAUCACAGUGCAAAUAAAUCAUGUGCAUUUCAGCACUUUAAACAAUAAAAAAACCGCUGUUCUUGUGCCCAGA